AGAGCGAACGCUGGCGGCAUGCUUAACACAUGCAAGUCUCACGGGCAGCAAUGUCAGUGGCGGACGGGUGAGUAACGCGUAGGUAUCUAUCCAUGGGUGGGGGAUAACGUCGGGAAACUGACGCUAAUACCGCAUGACAUCUGAGGAUCAAAGGCGCGAGUCGCCUGUGGAGGAGCCUGCGUACGAUUAGCUAGUUGGUGGGGUAAAGGCCUACCAAGGCUACGAUCGUUAGCUGGUCUGAGAGGAUGAUCAGCCACACUGGGACUGAGACACGGCCCAGACUCCUACGGGAGGCAGCAGUGGGGAAUAUUGGACAAUGGGCGAAAGCCUGAUCCAGCAAUGCCGCGUGUGUGAAGAAGGUCUUCGGAUUGUAAAGCACUUUCGGCGGGACGAUGAUGACGGUACCCGCAGAAGAAGCCCCGGCUAACUUCGCGCCAGCAGCCGCGGUAA
rnacentral:rRNA from 1 species